rnacentral:rRNA from 1 species
UACGUAGGGUGCAAGCGUUGUCCGGAAUUAUUGGGCGUAAAGAGCUCGUAGGCGGUUUGUCGCGUCUGCUGUGAAAACUCGGGGCUUAACCCCGGGCCUGCAGUGGGUACGGGCAGACUAGAGUGCGGUAGGGGAGACUGGAAUUCCUGGUGUAGCGGUGAAAUGCGUAGAUAUCUGGAGGAACACCGGUGGCGAAGGCGGCAUCCUGGACCGAUACUGACGCUGAGGAGCGAAAGCCAGGGGAGCAAACGGG